rnacentral:rRNA from 1 species
UACAGAGGGGGCUAGCGUUGUUCGGAAUUACUGGGCGUAAAGCGCACGUAGGCGGCUUUGUAAGUUAGAGGUGAAAGCCCAGGGCUUAACCCUGGAAUUGCCUUUUAAGACUGCAUCGCUAGAAUUGUGGAGAGGUAAGUGGAAUUCCGAGUGUAGAGGUGAAAUUCGUAGAUAUUCGGAAGAACACCAGUGGCGAAGGCGACUCGCUGGACAAGUAUUGACGCUGAGGUGCGAAAGCGUGGGGAGCAAACAGG